AUGGGGAUGAGGCCGUGCCAAAGCCAAGGGAAUUUGGGGCAGAAGCAGCGAAGGUUUGGGGCUGGGGGAGCGGCCGUGACCCUGCUGGAGCCCGGGGGCACCUCCAGCCCCCCGGGGGCUCCCUGCGCCUCCUCUGCCGAGCAUCCGGCUUCGAUUUUGGGAGUUUUUGGAUGUUCUGGGUCCACCAGAGGCCCGGGCAGGGGCUGGAAUUCGUGGCAAGUAUCAGCAGCAAUGGUGGUGACACCAGAUACGCGCCCUCGGUCAAGGGCCGGUUCAGGAUCUCCAGGGACAACGGGCAGAGCUCGGUGACGCUGACCAUGAACAGCCUCAAGGACCAGGAUUCCGCCGUCUAUUUCUGUGCCAAAUCUGCUGGUGCUGGUGCUGGUUGGAAUGCUAAUGGUGCUGGAUAUAUUGACGGGGCCGGCCAUGACCCCAUCCCCAACCAGCAUCAGCAUAAGCACCGUAACCGUCUGUACCCUUGGAACAGAAAUAGACGGCGGAAUCCUGGUCCUUGA